AAGAUGGAGGAUCGAAUGAGGGCAGUGUGAAUGUGAAUUAAUGCUAGGAGAGAGAGACAAAAAGCAACAGGAGUAAGAAAACUUGGAAUAUAUUAGAAUGGCGACUUCAAGAUAAGAAGAGAAACAACAUAGUGAUAUCUUCGAAUUUCACAAAAGAUCUCUUUUCCAUCCCAGAUGGCAUUCUCUCACAGGCUUCAGCCAAAAUUCCAGCUGCCAGCACAUAAACCUUCUGAAAAGGAAGACAUCAGAUUUAUACAUCAUUGUUGGCAUUUGGAUGGAUUGAUUCUCACUUAGAGCUAUCUGAGUUUAGAGAUCUCACCCUUCCCCAGAUAUGCACCUGCCUGGCUACUUGAAAGCGGAUGGAUGCCGUGCCUGACUUGUGCAAUUUAACCCAUCACUUCAGGAACCAUUGUUACCGUUGCAACAAGCAGAUGUCACUGCAGACUGUGUGAAAAUGUCAGAGAAAAUGAAGCAAAUCUAAGAAGUAGUAGAAGUGAAAUCUCACCCUUAAAAUGAAGCCUCUCCAAGGAACUUGACUCUAUGAAAUCAUAAGCAAUCAACUCUAUGGAAUCUGCGGACUGCUGAGUCUAAAAGAAGAGACUGAAAAAUCAAGUAGAUGAAACCCACACAAAUGUUAAGGUAACGGGAUGACUAUGUUGUCUCAGUAGAGGCCACAGGUCUCAAGGAUGCCAAGCAAUAGAAUAUGGAUGGAUGCACUGAUGCAAAUCCAUCUCCCUUCCUGCAAAACCAACUAAAUCGA